rnacentral:rRNA from 1 species
UGGGGGAAUAUUGGACAAUGGGCGCAAGCCUGAUCCAGCAAUGCCGCGUGUGUGAAGAAGGCCUUCGGGUUGUAAAGCGACUUUUAAUCAGGAGCGAAACGUCUGUCGGCUAAUACCCGGCGGAACUGACGGUACCUGAGGAAUAAGCACCGGCUAACUUCGUGCCAGCAGCCGCGGUAAUACGAAGGGUGCAAGCGUUAAUCGGAAUUACUGGGCGUAAAGCGUGCGUAGGCGGUUUCUUAAGUCUGCUGUGAAAUCCCCGGGCUCAACCUGGGAAUGGCAGUGGAUACUGGGAGGCUAGAGUGUGUCAGAGGGUGGUGGAAUUCCCGGUGUAGCGGUGAAAUGCGUAGAGAUCGGGAGGAACAUCAGUGGCGAAGGCGGCCACCUGGGACAACACUGACGCUGAGGCACGAAAGCGUGGGGAGCAAACAGGAUUAGAUA